rnacentral:rRNA from 1 species
GUACGGGAGGCAGCAGUGGGGAAUUUUGCGCAAUGGGCGAAAGCCUGACGCAGCAACGCCGCGUGCGGGAUGAAGGCCUUCGGGUUGUAAACCGCUUUCAGCAGGGAUGAAACUGACAGUACCUGCAGAAGAAGCCCCGGCUAACUACGUGCCAGCAGCCGCGGUAAUACGUAGGGGGCAAGCGUUAUCCGGAUUCAUUGGGCGUAAAGCGCGCGUAGGCGGCUUGUUAAGCGAGAUGUGAAAACCGGGGGCUCAACCCGCGGCCUGCAUCUCGAACUGGCAGGCUUGAGUUUGGUAGAGGAGUGUGGAAUUCCCAGUGUAGCGGUGAAAUGCGCAGAUAUUGGGAGGAACACCAGUGGCGAAGGCGGCACUCUGGGCCACAACUGACGCUGAGGCGCGAAAGCUAGGGGAGCGAACAGGAUUAGAUACCCUGGUAGA